GGCUUUCUCUGGAUCAGCUGCUUUGAC
rnacentral:piRNA from 1 species